rnacentral:lncRNA from 1 species
UGCGCUUUACUUAGCUAUAUUUAAGACCUUUUAGGCAAUUACUCAAAUCUUACACAUGCUAAUAAUUUAAUAUCAUCUUUUUGCUGGAUCAUUAUCGAUAUUUAGAACUAUGCUUUUCUUCAUCAUACUCAUCUCCCUAACAUAUAUAUUUCGCUCCCUGUAUUGAGUGACUACUAUCAGUCAACACUCAAGCCUUGAAUCUUGAGGAAUAACAGACAGCGAUGUAUGAAUGGAUCAUCUUGAGCACCUACAUGUACCACCACAUCAGCUCCUUCAGGAGAUUCAACUAUGUAUUUGGUUGAAUUCUUGUCUAUUUCAAUGUCUUCAAUGCAGAUACACACAUAGCUAAUGGAUGAUGACAUCGAAUGUAAUGAUAUCUUUCGAGUCUUCUCUUUGCCCUAUGAUUUAUCAUGCUUACACUGCUUACAACAUUUGGUUUUCUCCAGAUGGUGCAAUUGCUAGACCAUGAAACAUGUAAUUCUCCCAUCUUUUAUCCAAGCAUCAAUUUUUUAUAAUUUCAAGGUCAUUUGGUUACAUAACUGCAUUUCCCCUUUUCAAACUACAAUUCACCUCCUUAGACUAAAAUUGUGAUAUUUUUUUGAUCCUUGAAAAGAUAAAAGGUCUGAUUCCUACAGAGA